rnacentral:rRNA from 1 species
GCGUGAGUGAAGAAGGCCUUCGGGUUGUAAAGCUCUUUUACCCGGGAAGAUAAUGACUGUACCGGGAGAAUAAGCUCCGGCUAACUCCGUGCCAGCAGCCGCGGUAAUACGGAGGGAGCUAGCGUUGUUCGGAAUUACUGGGCGUAAAGCGUACGUAGGCGGCUUUGUAAGUCAGAGGUGAAAGCCCACGACUCAAUCGUGGAACUGCCUUUGAGACUGCUUCGCUUGAAGAUGGGAGAGGUUAGUGGAAUUCCGAGUGUAGAGGUGAAAUUCGU